GCUGAAGCCAGUCGAAGAUACCAGCUGGCUGCAACUGUUUAUUAAAAACACAGCACUGUGCAAACACGAAAGUGGACGUAUACGGUGUGACGCCUGCCCGGUGCUGGAAGGUUAAUUGAUGGGGUCAGCCGCAAGGCGAAGCUCCUGAUCGAAGCCCCAGUAAACGGCGGCCGUAACUAUAACGGUCCUAAGGUAGCGAAAUUCCUUGUCGGGUAAGUUCCGACCUGCACGAAUGGCGUAAUGAUGGCCAGGC
rnacentral:rRNA from 1 species